GUACUCGCUUCGGUGGUACGUAUACUAAAACUGAAACGACACAGAGAUUAGCAUGGCCCCUGCGCAGGGAUGACACACAAAAUCGUGAGGCGUCUCAUAUUUUU
rfam:Schistosoma mattheei strain Denwood, Zambia genome assembly, scaffold: SMTD_scaffold0017495